rnacentral:rRNA from 1 species
GAAAGUUUUUUCGGUCGGGGAUGGGCUCGCGGCCUAUCAGCUUGUUGGUGGGGUAACGGCCUACCAAGGCGAUUACGGGUAGCCGGCCUGAGAGGGCGACCGGCCACACUGGGACUGAGACACGGCCCAGACUCCUGCGGGAGGCAGCAGUGGGGAAUAUUGCGCAAUGGGCGAAAGCCUGACGCAGCGACGCCGCGUGGGGGAUGACGGCCUUCGGGUUGUAAACCUCUUUUACCACUCACGCAGGCCCCACGUUUUCGUGGGGUUGACGGUAGGUGGGGAAUAAGGACCGGCUAACUACGUGCCAGCAGCCGCGGUAAUACGUAGGGUCCGAGCGUUGUCCGGAAUUAUUGGGCGUAAAGAGCUCGUAGGCGGCGUGUCGCGUCUGCUGUGAAAGACCGGGGCUUAACCCCGGUUCUGCAGUGGAUACGGGCAUGCCUAGAGGUAGGUAGGGGAGACUGGAAUUCCUGGUGUAGCGGUGAAAUGCGCAGAUAUCAGGAGGAACACCGGUGGCGAAGGCGGGUCUCUGGGCCUUACCUGACGCUGAGGAGCGAAAGCAUGGGGAGCGAACAGGAUUAGAUACCCUGGUAGUCCAUGCCGUAAACGUUGGGCGCUAGGUGUGGGGACUUUCCACGGUUUCCGCGCCGUAGCUAACGCAUUAAGCGCCCCGCCUGGGGAGUACGGCCGCAAGGCUAAAACUCAAAGGAAUUGACGGGGGCCCGCACAAGCGGCGGAGCAUGUUGCUUAAUUCGACGCAACGCGAAGAACCUUACCAAGGUUUGACAUCACCCGUGGACCUGUAGAGAUACAGGGUCAUUUGGUUGGCGGGUGACAGGUGGUGCAUGGCUGUCGUCAGCUCGUGUCGUGAGAUGUUGGGUUAAGUCCCGCAACGAGCGCAACCCUUGUUCCAUGUUGCCAGCACGUAAUGGUGGGGACUCAUGGGAGACUGCCGGGGUCAACUCGGAGGAAGGUGGGGACGACGUCAAGUCAUCAUGCCCCUUAUGUCUUGGGCUGCAAACAUGCUACAAUGGCCGGUACAAUGGGCGUGCGAUACCGUGAGGUGGAGCGAAUCCCUAAAAGCCGGUCUCAGUUCGGAUUGGGGUCUGCAACUCGACCCCAUGAAGGUGGAGUCGCUAGUAAUCGCGGAUCAGCAACGCCGCGGUGAAUACGUUCCCGGGCCUUGUACACACCGCCCGUCACGUCAUGAAAGUCGGCAACACCCGAAACUUGUGGCCUAACCCUUCGGGGAGGGAG